UGGGUAGCAUAUUCAUUUUCACCAUGUCUUGGGCAAUUUUAUUUAUUUUCAAUUAUUACCAGGCCAGAUUAUUCAUAUACAUAAUCCACUCUGCAUAAUUAGAUUUAGAAUAGAGUUUCAAACGUGGAACUGAAAUAUCGAACUGAGGAAAGGGACAAUAAGUUAUUAAUUUCGUUUUAAAUGACACACUUUUUGGUUCCUGUUUUCUUAGAUUUUCUUCUUUCUUUCGGAUGCAGGAUCAGACUCCUAGGUAGGACUGUUAAACUUCCCGG
rnacentral:lncRNA from 1 species